UACAGAGGGGGCAAGCGUUAAUCGGAAUUACUGGGCGUAAAGCGCGCGUAGGCGGCUUUGCAAGUCGGGUGUGAAAUCCCCAGGCUUAACCUGGGAACUGCAUUCGAGACUGCAUUGCUAGAGUAUGGGAGAGGGAAGUGGAAUUUCCGGUGUAGCGGUGAAAUGCGUAGAUAUCGGGAGGAACACCAGUGGCGAAGGCGGCUAUCUGGCCCGUUAUUGACGCUGAGGCGCGAAAGCGUGGGGAGCAAACAGG
rnacentral:rRNA from 1 species